AGGUUGCAAUGAACAACUUCUAAGACUAAUACCUGGGAGCAAAUUUGCUAGUGCAAAGGUGCAUCUCAAUAAACCAGGUUUUGAGGCGCCCCUGGCCAGGGUGCCCCAACUGCUCACGAGGCUUUCUGCUGAGGUGGUUCCACCAGAGCUUCCCUGUGGGAGGUAUGAAGAGACUCAUCUUAUCUGUACAAGGCUGUGCAUGGGGUAUUCUUGCAAGACGUAUCUCAAUCACAUUCAUUUGAGAUAAAAGAGAAAAGAAGGGUGCUUGGAAGAGCUUCCAUCUAUCAGUUCUGGAAAGACAAUGAAUCCAAUUGAAAACAAAUCCAGGUCUCUCAAUGGCCAGCUUGGCUUCUGAGAAGUCAUUUUAUGGCCAAGGAUGAGAAGGCAGAAGGAAUUCUGGAUGGCUGUGGCUAUUUCUAAAAGCUGAAGUCCUACUGCAAAGCCCCUGAAGGCUGGAUCGGGGAGACCCUGUUCUGCUACAUGGCUUCCGUUUCUGGCAUCAAUCUCAGUCCUCCCUAGGCUUGGUGAGGAACCUACGGAUAUGGAAGACAACUGUAUCAUUGCUCUGGAUUUCUCAUCUUUCUGUCUCUCAGGGACAGCUUGUGAAGUGUCAGCCCACUCCGCCAACCCCACCGGUGCACAGAGACUGCAUUUCCUCCGGCAGCAUUCUCACUCAGGUCGCAUGGCUCCUUUGCCAAGGUGGUUGUAUUACUCUGAAAUAUGGAAAUCUCCAUUUUAGGAGGAAAUAACACAAAGCAGAUUUUCCUUCAUGCAUUGAAUCUUGUUAUGAAACGAAGACUUCAACUGCCCUCUCUUUCUGGGACAGUGAAAUAAAAGCCUUUGCUUCCUCCUCAGGCUCACUUGGCCAGAGCCCACACCAGUCACCAGCACAGCCACAUCCUGCUCCCCACAGAGCCCGCUGAGCCUGGGAUCCACCUGUUUCUGAGGCAGCAGCCGUAGUCAAGCUGCACGAGCUCACCGUGCACCAUCAUGCCCAUUUCCGCGGCCCCACCCAGGUCGUAGACAAACUCGGGCCAGCUUUUCCACUACGUUUCAUGGGAAGCUGUGUGAAGACCCUGCCAGAGAUGGUUGCACGUUACUCUAAGGUUGGCCAUAAAAUGAGAAAGGCUCAGAGGUGGUGAAGCUGCAGAAUGGAAGUUGCCAGAGUGCCUGGGUCCUACUGAAGAGAGCUCUGCAAAGAGCCGCCUGCCAGGAAGCCUCUGCACACCUUCUAUGCAUGAGUACAGCUGAUCCUUAACACGAUUCCAGCUCUGUAGGCUACCUGCUGCCAUUUGUCGUUGAGAGGGACAUACUCACAACAUCCUGCAAGGGACCUCACUCCAGUAAUAAGGUCCUGCCCUCUCCUGUUGCUGUAUCUGUGAGCUCAAGUUUUUCAAGUAUUCAUUUAUCAUUUCCACGCAAGCCAUUUCUCCAGUAAAUUGUUCAUCGCAGUUGAAAGUCUAGGAAACAUAGGACUUGCUUAGGCAUGGAAAACAGAGCUACUUCAAAUUGCUUCUGAUGCCCAAAUUCUUUCCAUCAUGGCAAAAUCUGCCCUCGCCUUUGUGUCUUCUCACUUCCUGGACUGCAUUUUUCAGCUUUUUGGAGUCAGCACCCUAAAGUGCCAUUCUCCUCUGGAUCCUGGAUUUCUCUGUUUUCUUCAUUACUAAGCCCCAGCUUCCACUGAUGCCACCUUCUGGGGGCUCUGAGCUUUCCCCCCAGAUACCGCAGCCCCUUCCCCACCUCUCCCAGCCAGCCAGUCUACAGCAUGCAUUCUUCCUGACCCCUCUGAAUUCCCCAACUCCUCACAAGUCUGCUUGAAAACUUUCCACAUCUCUGUUGGCCUUGAUCUUGAAUCGUCAAUGAUUGUCUAAUGAAAUCAGAGCAUUCUUUGUUCCAAAGUUUUUUCAUUGUUUUUUUUCCAUGGGAUUGUAGAAAACAUCUCCUGCCAGGCACACCCUACUGUUUUUGUGAAAAUUAUAGGCUGGAAAUAACUGCUUAAGUCAACUGCCAGACGAGGUACUCUCAUCAGAGGGAAAAUUCCAGCUGCUGAACAAGUUUAUGGGCUUUAUUUUUGAAGCAAAGAGUUCAUCAAGUGAAAAAUUGAAUUUUACAGGUGCCCCAACUCUGUUCUAAGCAAAAAGCAUGAGGAUGUCACCCUUCAAGGUCAAACUUAUGACCCAAUAUUUAUUCACUUGCUUUCUCUAUUCACUUUCUUGGGUCCUUUCUGUGGCCUCAUAGUAGAUGCUCUGGGGCACACAGAGAAAGGAAUCUUUUUAUGAAAGAUAAAAGAAAGGGUCUGAGGAAGAGUUCAGUCUCCAUCUGGCUGUAUUCCUUGUCCAGACCUAGGAACUGAUGUGUUGUUUUUCUGGCUUAAGCCAGGUUGUUUUAUCAAUCAAAAGUCUUAGUUGAGAUCCCUAAGAAGUCCAGCUCCCUUCCCUUGAACACAUAUGGGAAGAAGAGGGUGCCCAAGAGAAACCGUGCAAGAUCUGCUAAAAUCAUGUCUGCCUCUUGCACUAAGGCAAACAGCUGCUGUAGAGUAGAUCUAAAAUGUCCCCCAAAAAGUUUUAUAUAUUCAGAAAAGGGGCUAUUGGAAGACUGCCAUGGGUUGAGCAGUUUUUCUCUGCCAUAGUCCUUCUGUCCUGCCGUGUCUGCGUUAGAGCUGAUUGCAAAUGGACAGAUCCUUACAAGCCAAGAUAAACUCUUCUCCUUUAAGUUGUGGGUGUCGGGUAUUUUGUUCCAGCUACAGGAAAGUGACUUAGACAACUGCCUUUCCACAAAGCAUGUGGAUACCCCUGAGGAGCACCUGAAAUAAGCACACCUGUCUGCUACUGCAGACCCUUCCUCCCUGAAAGACACCUGCCACCUGCUGUCUCAGUCUGCAGAGCUCCUUACAGAAGCACAGACCACCCGUGAUAGCCUCUGUUCAAGCAGGCUUUCUAGUCUAGAACUUGUGAGUCCCCCACCCACAAGACUCUCUAGUUAACUCAUGUGAUAAACUAUGUUAUAUUUGGGUUUUAAAGAACAGUGGUUUGAUCUGAAAUGAUCCCCAAGGCUCCAGUGUUGGGAAACUGACUGGAUUAUGCAGUGGUAUAGCAGGCUCACUGAUGGGAGGCAGGGUCUGGUCAAAGGAGACGGUCACUGAGGGUGUGGCCUGCAAGGGUUUAUCUCCCUCCCCAGCUCCUCCUUGCCCUGCAUCCUGCCCGCCAUAACUGAGCAGCUUUCUUCUGCUGGACCCUCCUCUGCUGGACAUGGCCUCCACCAUGUUGUUUUUCCCUUUGGAGCUACCAGGACUACGCUCUGAAAUGUGAACUGAAAUAAAUUUUUCUUCCCUUAAACUGCA